AGCGAACGCUGGCGGCAGGCCUAACACAUGCAAGUCGAGCGCCCCGCAAGGGGAGCGGCGGACGGGAGAGUAACACGUGGGAACGUACCCUUUGGUUCGGAACAACCCAGGGAAACUUGGGCUAAUACCGGAUAAGCCCUUACGGGGAAAGAUUCAUCGCCGAAGGAUCGGCCCGCGUCUGAUUAGCUAGUUGGUGGGGUAACGGCCCACCAAGGCGACGAUCAGUAGCUGGUCUGAGAGGAUGAUCAGCCUCACUGGGACUGAGACACGGCCCAGACUCCUACGGGACGCAGCAGUGGGGAAUAUUGGACAAUGGGCGCAAGCUUGAUCCAGCCAUGCCGCGUGGGUGAUGAAGGCCCUAGGGUUGUAAAGCCCUUUCGGCGGGGAAGAUAAUGACGGUACCCGCAGAAGAAGCCCCGGCUAACUUCGUGCCAGCCGCCGCAGUAA
rnacentral:rRNA from 1 species